rnacentral:sRNA from 2 species
GGGAAGGGGGCGUAGAGGUAUCUCAGCAGGGGGUCGGCGUCGUCGUCGGUGAUGACCUCGUGGACGAAGGACGGGUGCAGCUCCGUCCAGCUGGCCUCCAUGGGGCGGAACUUGUCGCCGAACUUACCGGAGGCGGGGGUGUAUUUCCAGGUCUGCCAGAUGUACGCGGGGAAUUUGGCGUGGACGUCAUAGGGGAAUUGGUAGCGGAGGCGUUCGCGGAGGGGCUUGCGGGCAAGAUCCUCGGGGGACAGCGAGGCUGGUGCGGAUGUGGGAGGGAGCGAUUCGUUGUGGGUAGAGGGCGGCGACUCGGAGGACGCAGCAACGGACUUCUGUGCAGCUUUACGAAUGGGAAGUGGUUGUGGGUGGCAAAGACGGAAGCAGGAGUGGGAGCGGGAGGAGAGGAGGAAGUAGAAGCUGGCGAGGAGGAGGAGAGUCGCUGCGAUAGAACGGCGGAAGGUAAUCAUGGUGGCAGCUGGAGUAGACCAGGGGCGGAGCGGGGAGGAGCGGGCAUGGCAGUCGAGCGGGAGGAGCGUGUUUUGGGGGGAGUCGACGGCGGAGUAAUAUGGGUAAUAUGGGUAUUAUGGGUAACACUGGUAACACUGGGUAAUACUGGGUAACACUGUGGAUGUCAAACACAGGCUGAAGGAGAACCGUGGAAGGCUCCGCGUGAACCGGGAACGGGGACGAAGUUUAAGCAGCAGCAGCAACAGCAACAGCAACAGCAACAGCAACAAAACGCCCUUCCAAGCCUGGUAGAUCACCGACGCAUGGCGAUGGAAUGGGGAGGAGACGAGACGAUGAGGAGACAGGCCUUUGCUGAGCAGUGUGUUGUGUAUAAGAAGAGAGGGGAGGAGGAGAGGGAAAAGAAAGAAACAACGGAGAGAAACAAAAAGGGGAUCUGUGGACAGCAACACCCAUUGACUGACUAACUGAUUGGGAUCUUCGUCGUGUUUCCGCCCUCCACGGCCCUCCACCGCCCCCAUGACAGCUGCAGCUCCCGGGCGAUCCCUGCCCAGACUGGGCCCGCGGUGGGGCUAGGCUAGGCUGGUUGCAGCAUAGCGGGCAUCUGAAACAGUCCCGAGACGAUCUGCGCUGCUCUGACUGGCUGGCCGGGGAUGGGUGCGUGGUGGGUGAUGUCAUCGUCGGUAUUUGAAUAGAGGCGGC